rnacentral:rRNA from 1 species
CAUGGAGGGUGAGAAUCCCGUUCGGUUGACCCUAUGACGUUUUACGAUACGCUUUCAAAGAGUCGAGUUGUUUGGGAUUGCAGCUCAAAAUGGGAGGUAAAUUUCUCCUAAGGCUAAAUAUUGGCGAGAGACCGAUAGCGAACAAGUACCGUGAGGGAAAGAUGAAAAGAACUUUGAAAAGAGAGUAAAAUAGUACGUGAAAUUGUUGAAAGGGAAACGAUUGAAGUCAGUCGUACCGACGAGAAAUCAGCUCUUCGAGUGUGGACUUGUGGGCGUGCUUGAGUCUUUAACGGGCCUUGCCGUUUGCAAUGUUUGUGCUUUUUGGGUGUUCUUUUUCGUAUGGUUGGCCAACGUCAGUUUCGAUCAUCAUAAAAUGAUCAGGGGAAUGUAGCUUCGAUCUCGUAUUGAAGUGUUAUAGCCUUUGGUAGAUGUGGUAAUUGAAACUGAGGAUUGCAACGAAUACCCUCUGGGCUAUCCGUCUGGCCUCUGAAAGUUGCCUAGGUUGCCGAAAGCUUGCUUACGGUUGUCUAAGGUGGCGGUCAAAAGGUUAGAACGUAAUUACAUUCGUUAAGGAUGUUGACGUAAUGG